rnacentral:rRNA from 1 species
AAAGGGAGCCGGAGCGAAAGCGAGCCUGAACAGGGCGACUUGAGUCCCGCGCCGCGGACGCGAAGCCGGGUGAGCUAUCCAUGGGCAGGCUGAAGCGGGGGUAAGACCCCGUGGAGGGCCGAACGCACGUCGGUUGAAAACGGCGGCGAUGACCUGCGGAUAGGGGUGAAAGGCCAAUCAAACCCGGAGAUAUCUCGUUCUCCCCGAAAUAGCUUUAGGGCUAGCGUCGCGCGUUCACCGCCGGAGGUAGAGCACCGGAUGGACGAGGGGGCUUCGCCGCCUACCGAAUCCAACCGAACUCCGAAUGCCGGCGGCCCAGAGCGCGGCAGUCAGAGCAUGUGGGCUAAGCUGUGUGCUCGAGAGGGAAACAGCCCGGACCGCCCGCUAAGGUCCCCAAGUUCCAGCCGAGUGGCAAAGGAUGUGCGUCCGCCCAGACAACCAGGAUGUUGGCUUAGAAGCAGCCAUGCAUUCAAAGAGUGCGUAACAGCUCACUGGUCGAGUGGACAUGCGCCGACAAUACACGGGGCUAAGCUGGACACCGAAGCGGCGGGAUUUUGAUUUACAGAAUCGGUAGGGGAGCUUCCCAUGGGCGGGGAAGCCGCCGGGCGACCGGCGGUGGCGCGCAUGGGAGUGAGAAUGCUGGCAUGAGUAGCGAGAGACGAGAGAGUAACUCGUCCGCCGUGAACCCGAGGUUUCCUGGGCAAGGCUAAUCCUCCCAGGGUCAGUCGGGGGCUAAGGCGAGGCCGGGAGGCGUAGCCGACGCGCAGCAGGCAGACAUUCCUGCACCGCGCACGCGGCGCUACGACCGACGGGGCGACGGAUGGGGGUGGCUCGGCGGGGUUCUGGACGUCCCCGUGAUGGAGCGCGGCCCGCGGACCAGGGAAAUCCGGUCCGCACGAGGGCGAGGCUCCGGACGAAGCGAUCAAGCGAAGCGAGUGAGCCCGAGGUCCCUAGAAAAACCCCUAGGCAGGCGCGUGCGCGCCCGUACCGCAAACCGACACAGGUGGGUGGGUAGAACAUACCGAGGCGAUCGGGUCAACCAUGGUCAAGGAACUCGGCACAAUGGCCCCGUAACUUCGGGAGAAGGGGUGCCCGCGCGUACGUGAACGGACUUGCUCCGGGAGCGGAGGCGGGCCGCAGUGGAGAGGCCCAAGCGACUGUUUACCAAAAACACAGGACUCUGCAGAAGCCGCAAGGCGACGUAUAGGGUCUGACGCCUGCCCGGUGCCGGAAGGUCACGCGGAGGAGUUAGCCGCAAGGCGAAGCCCCGAAGCCAAGCCCCGGUAAACGGCGGCCGUAACUAUAACGGUCCUAAGGUAGCGAAAUUCCUUGUCGGGUAAGUUCCGACCUGC